rnacentral:rRNA from 1 species
AGAGUACGUGAAACCGUUCAGGGGUAAACCUGAGAAACCCGAAAGGUCGAAAGGGGAGAUUCAGCGUGUCUCGAUUGCGGCGCUGGACGGUCGUGCGACGGAAGACGUACGCGUCAUCCGCACCUUCCGUGCUCCGAACCGUAGUCGAACGCGUGCACUUCUCCCCCUGUAGGACGUCGCGAUCCGUUGGGUGCCGGUCUAAGGCCUGCAAUGGAGCCCGUUCGGACGGUUUACCGUUCCGGACGAACUUGCAGUGUUUCCCGGUCGGCUCGCUCGACGGUAUACAGAUGGCGCGGGGCCGCUACACAUUAGUUAGCGUCCGACCGGCGGCAAGCGCGCUCGUCGUGACGGUGAUCGGACCUGGUGCCGGUCCUGUCCCCGAGUGGCUGUUCGCUGCCGUGUUCUCGGACAGACCUCGUCGAAACGCCGAUCUGCGACGCUAUAGCUUUGGGUACUUUCAGGACCCGUCUUG